GCCGGCGUAAUCAGGCGCGAGGGGCAGCCGGUGUGUCAAGUCCUCUGGCCGCCUUAGGCGGUGUCUGCGGUGUGCGCCUCUCGCCCGCCCGCCCGCCCGCCUGCCCGCGGCUCCAGUGUCCUCGCCUCGGCCUCCCUCCUCCGUCCGCGCGGCUGUCCCAGGCUCCGCGAGCCACCCCGGGACCUUGCGCCCGCAAGCUUUCUCGGUGCCCGACGGGGCCGCCUCGGGACAUGGUGCCGUCCCAGGAGGAGCCCGCCGCCGAGCGGGAGACGAACGAGGCGCAGCCGCCCGGGCCCGCGCCCUCGGAUGACGCUCCGCUGCCCGGCCCGGGACCCUCGGAUGUCUCCGACGUGGCCGCAGAGAAAGUGGAGGUGGAGCUGACGAGGUCAGCGGGCAGUGAGCCCCCCGUUCCCCCCGAGGGCGGCUGGGGCUGGUUGGUGAUGCUGGCGGCCAUGUGGUGCAACGGGUCGGUGUUUGGCAUCCAGAACGCCUACGGGGUGCUCUUCGUGUCCAUGCUGGACACCUUCAAGGCCAAGGACGAUGACAACAUGGCCUUCAAGACAGCGUGGGUGGGCUCGCUGUCCAUGGGCAUGAUCUUCUUCUGCUGCCCCAUCGUGAGUGUCUUCACGGACAUGUUCGGCUGCCGGAGAACAGCUGUUGUGGGGGCAGCUGUGGGAUUCAUUGGACUCAUGUCCAGUUCUUUUGUAAGCUCCAUCGAGCCUCUGUACCUCACCUAUGGAAUCAUAUUUGCCUGCGGCUGCUCCUUUGCCUACCAGCCGUCACUGGUCAUUUUGGGACACUACUUCAAGAAGCGCCUUGGACUAGUCAACGGCAUCGUCACGGCCGGCAGCAGCGUCUUCACAAUCCUGCUCCCUUUGCUGUUAGGAAAUCUAAUCAGCAGUGUGAAGCUCUUUAACACGCUGCGGAUCCUCUGCAUCUUCAUGUUUGUUCUCUUUCUGGCUGGCUUUACCUACCGACCUCUUGUUCCCAGCACCAAAGAGAAAGAGAGUGGGGGCAGCAGAAGCUCAUUCUUCUCCAGGAGAAAGCUUAGUCCUCCAAAAAAAGUCUUUAACUUUGCCCUCUUCAAGGAGACAACCUAUGCAGUGUGGGCUGCUGGGAUACCACUUGCACUUUUUGGCUACUUUGUGCCUUACGUUCACUUGAUCUCAACAUCUGCUGCAAUUUGACUUUUCAGAUGAACCAUGUAAAGGAAAGGUUUCAAGAUGUAAACAACAAAGAGGUGCUCUUCAUGUGCAUUGGCAUCACUUCAGGAGUUGGACGGCUUCUCUUUGGCCGCAUUGCUGACUAUUUGCCCGGUGUGAAGAAGGUCUACCUCCAGGUUCUCUCCUUCUUCUUCAUUGGCCUGAUGUCCAUGAUGAUUCCCCUGUGCAGCGCCUUCGGAGCCCUCAUUGCUGUCUGCCUUGCCAUGGGUCUCUUCGAUGGAUGCUUCAUUUCUAUCAUGGCGCCCAUUGCCUUUGAACUAGUUGGUCCUCAGGAUGCUUCCCAAGCAAUUGGAUUUCUACUUGGAUUCAUGUCGAUACCCAUGACUGUAGGCCCUCCUAUUGCAGGGUUACUUCAUGACAAGCUGGGCACCUACGACGUGGCCUUUUACCUUGCUGGAAUCCCUCCCUUCGUUGGGGGUGUUGUGCUCUGUUUAAUCCCGUGGAUCCAUAGCAAGAAGCAAAGAAAGAUCAGUAAGAACGCCGGAGGGGAGAAGAUGGAGAAAAUGCUGGAGAACCAGAGCUCUCUACUGUCAGGCUCAUCAGGAAUCUUCAAAAAAGACUCCGCCUCGAUUAUUUAAUGCCGUACAUACCUCACCUCACGGGAUUUGCUUUUGAAUUUUAAGCCAGUUUUCCUUUUUAUAUGAAUUGCAGAUUUCUUAUUUUUUUAAUCAUCCUUGGAAUAGCACAAAUGGGACAUGAGCCCUUUAUUAUGACAAGAGCCAUCUCUCUCCCAAGCAGCUUUGGUAUUCCCACGAGUAAGGGGGAGACUGUCACAGGCAAGCACGUCUGGAAAUCCAGCGUGAGCGUUCAGAGCUCCGAGGAAGGAGCAGCCUUGGCAGCCUCAGAUGCUGUCAGCUGCUGCGUGCUUUGAACGUGCUUGGAGCUGCGCUGGGUGGGCAGCUCCGGGCUCCUCCGCACCGGAAACAUUUUGUCAGUCCCUCUUGGUAUCUUUUGUUCCACUGUGUUACUUUCUCCUUCAUUUUUGGAAUUUAAGCCUAGAUCCUAGAUAAUAAGAGGCCAACCUAAACCUUGAGUCUGUUAAAUGACUUAAGCUAUGAAAUUAGGAGGUUCUUACAUGCUGUAGUCAAGGGACCUCCUGGGAGCAGAUGCUACUGCUACCACAGUGGACAUGGGGGAGAGAAAGGCCCUCUUGUAGGCGGCAAUCAGGUGUUUCUUCCACCAACCUUUGUUCCCUUUGGUUUGUAGUGUGUUUUACUCCAGUAGCCAGAAACACCCCAAAUUUCUGAUUUUAUAUAAACAAUAAAGUGAAGUAGAAUGUAUAAAAGAUAUCCUGGCAAUUUUAUCAGAGUUUUUCUGACUUCUGGGUUUAUUAGCACUAUGUUUGAGUGUUUUGUUGAGCGUAUUAUCAGCUGGUGGAGUGGACACAGAUUGGAAGUUCUGUCCAUUAGAAAAUGUCUGAUAGAAAUAAUUGCUUAAACUGAUUUAUGGAACUAAUGAUUUUUUUGGAACUAAUGAUUUUAAAAUGUUAAAUAUAUUUAUAAGAAGCCCAAUUUCUAAUUUUUCCAAAUUUUUUUUUUUUAGCAAAACUUUGCAUUUGUAUGUACAGUCUUGUGAUAUGCCAAGGAGCCUGACGGCCGGUGCUUUCCCAGCCUGCCUCUUGUGGAGUUUACGUACACAGACUGAGAGACUCCAUUGUAACUAGGUGAUACAAUCUUUCUGCACAGCAUCGAGUAUGCUCCUUCCUCUUCUUUGGCCAGAAAAUUAGUGUAGUAUUUAUUUAUUGAUUACCUCCAUUGUCCCCCGUUUAUGUCCCAACUGUAAGAAAGCUUUGAGGAUCUAAAAUUAAAACCAAAGUUGGGCCGUGACCCAUUACUCAUUUAUCAAAGCAGGAACACACUGUUAUAUCUUUGAAAUUGUAUGUUAGACUUUAAAGGUUAAAAUGCCAAGUAUUCUUAAAUCAUUAGCCUCGAUGACUGUUAGAGUGGAACGUAGCUUGCUUGUUCAUGGGAGAAGAAUGCUAUCUUUUCCUAAGCACUUGCAGGGUCCUUCUGUUUCUAAGUUAUCUGGAAGGUGAGACUUAAUUUUAUCAUCUCCCUACUCAGCAUUCCCUUUCUGUUGCAUAUAAAAGGCCGACCUCCCUCUCUCCAUCUGUCAAGGGCGGGCUGCCUGGAGACAGUAUAGACUCAUUUUUGUUGGGAGUGGGGGUAGAGGUCUGGAGGGAAGAGGGGCUAGGAGUUGAAAGAUGGAAGCUCUUCCUCUUAAUUACAGCUUGCUUACCUAUUGUCUUGUAAGAGCUCACAGCCUAAAUGCUAAGUGUACACGUUCUUUUAAUGGGUUUUGAAUAAUUGUAAUUUAUUUAUUAUUUAUUUAUUGUGAUGCGGAGCCUAAGUAGAUCUGACUGGCCUUCAGCUCCUGUCUGUUGCUUCAGACCUGUGUUAGGAUGCAGCGGUGUGCUACCAUGUGUGUCAAAAAGUUUGAUUUUGAAGACCCAAGCUGGCAUGGAACUCACCAUGUAGCCCAGGCUAGCCUCAAACAAACUCACAAAGCUCUUUUAGGUGUUUUUGAAGCAGGCUUGGUUGUGGCCCAGCAGGGAGUUGGAACUUGAGGUCCUCCUGCUUCAGCUUCUUACACAGAGGGAUCCCAGAGUGUGCCACCACCGCCAGCGUCACCGCCAGCGUCACUCACUGCCGACAGGUGCUUCUGUUUUAAAUUGACAAAGGGGUUUUAGCAAUUUGUUUGCAGUAAGAUCUCUUUCAGGAGGGAAAAUAUUUUAACCAUAUUGGCCUUUCUUGUUCUUUUCUUUCUUGUUUUAGAUAAAGUUUUACUAAGUAGACCUGGCAGGCCUGGAGCUCACAGAGACAUGCCAGCCUCAGCCUCCCAAGUGCUGGGGUUCAAGGGCGGGCACACCACCAUGUGGGCUCUCUUCCAUGGGCUUAUAUUGUACAUCUGAGAAGUUUUGCCUAUGAAGUUAUUACUGAGUUCGAAUAUAUGGAAGUGUCUGAUUGUUGCUAAUGCUUAAUGAUUUAAGGUUUAUUUACAAGAAAAUGAUCAUCAAAUCCAGUCUUGUGAUGAACAUGGCCUCCCAACAGAGUAACUUUAAAAAAAAAGUCCCUUCUCAGGGUAUCUAGCACAGAGUGGAUGUUUAAAAUCACUCAUGGGUGAGGAUAUGGCAUAGAGGUAGGGAGCUCUCCCAACAGUCCGAAGCCCCAGCCAGCCAGACUCACUUCAAGGAGUAAAAAUGAACAACAACAAAAAGGGCAUAUAGAAACUUUAACUGGAUUUGAUUAAGGGGAUAUUUUGAACAUUUGAGCUAUUUGUUUUUCAGUUUUUGGAGUCAUUGGUCUUAACAUUUUAGAUCUUGAUACAGAUUAAAACUGCUGUGAGUGACAGUGUCAGUCUCCUGUCAGGUCCUCUCAGGACCAUGCUGUGACAGUAUCAGAUUCCCCUCCCCACAAAACAAAACAUGAAAACAGUGCCACCAAGAAGUGCACCCUUGUCCCAGGUCCCGGGCCCCAGCCUGCGUGCUUCUGUCAGUGGGACCCAGAUACCUGGAGGUCACAGACUUAGGUCAGUCCUGCUUUCCUUCAUAGACUUUGCCUCGGCCAUUUUAUAAGAAUGAGACAGUAACUCACAGCCGCUGUUGCCUUUCUAGAGAGACGGUGUACUCAGGCUGAGGAUGCUGGGUUCGCUGUAGACUACCCUGAGCGUUGUGUGCCGGGGUCUCACUGACUGCUGUACAGCUCCUUUGACAGCAGCUUCUACGUAGUGGAGCAGUGAGAGUGUCAGAUAACAGAAGGCUGGAGAGGCGCCUCACCGCACCCAGCACCUAUGUAUUUCAAAAGUUCAGACUCUGUUAGCAAAACCUAAUAUUCCAAAUAUACCUAGUGCUCCAGGUGUGAGCUCCCUCCUUCCAUCCAUCAUUCCCUUCCUCCCUCCUCUCUCUCCCCACCUCUCUCCCUCCUACAGAAGGUGCCAGCUUACUCCAUAGCUGUAUAAAUAAAAUAUAGCUGACUGUGUGAAAGAGUCAUGCUGGGUUCGACCAACAUAGGUAUUUUCCUAGUUUUGAGAAAUCCUGUUCUUUUAAAAUAAUAUAAUUUAUAAUUGAUUUUUUUAAAAAUGUGAUUUAUAUAUUUAAUAUAGACAACCAAAACCUUUUUAAUGAAGAGUGCUUUGUACUUUGGAGAAUACAGUCAUUUUACUGUGGGGAAAUGUGAUAUUCUCAGUAAAUGCAAUAAAAUUUUUAGCAAAUUCCUGUAA